AGCACUGCGGCGAUGAUGAAUGCCACCACGAUGAAAUAGCGCCGCUUUUCCUUGAGCUGCUUCGAGGUCAGGAUUCCGAUCCGCCCCAGCAGCGUCAGGAUCACCGGCAACUGGAACGCGAUGCCGAAUGCGAAGAUCAGCGACAUCAUCAGCGACAAAUAUUCGCCGACUUUCGGCAACAGCGCGAUCUGCGCGGUUUCCGCGCCGCCGACCUGCUGCAUCCCGAGCGAAAAGCGGAUCAGCAUCGGCAGCACGAGGAAAUAAACCAGCAANNNGCGAAGAAGAUCGGCGUCGCGAUCAGAUAUGGCAGGAACGCGCCGCGCUCGUGCUUGUAGAGACCGGGCGCGACGAACAUGUAGAUCUGCGCCGCGAUCACCGGAAACGAAAUGAAUCCAG
rnacentral:misc_RNA from 1 species